UUUUUUCCCUUUUCCCUACAGAUAUUUUCCUUCCUACUCCAGAUAGUUUACUUGUAAAUCUCCAUGAAAUCAAAGAGCUGAUAAAAGAUCUACUGAAUGCAUUUCCAAAUAUGUUCAGCAAUACAAGAGAAACACACAGCGCGUUGGGCCCUGCUCUUCAAGCUGCAUUUAAACUGAUGUCUCCAACAGGAGGUCGGGUAUCUGUGUUUCAAACACAGUUACCAUCCUUGGGUGCAGGGCUUUUGCAUUCCAGAGAAGAUCCCAAUCAAAGGUCAAGCACAAAAGUAUAAAAAAUUCAUUAAUUAUUCCUCUCAGGAGCCUAGGGACUGGACGUUUCUGCCUUGCAUUGUCUACAGACCAACUCUUGUGCUUUGUUUAUAGCAAUUUGCUAACUUUUAAAUAUUCAGUGUCUGUGCAUGUAUGAUCACUAAUUUAUAUAUGCAUGUAUUUCUCAACAGCAAAGCCUUUUUUUUUUCUUGUCAGCGAAAAAAAUCUGCAAGUAUCUUUUGACUCUUGACUCAACCUUGGUUGAUUUAUUAUCAACCAAGGCUUUGAAUAUAUAUAUAUAUAUAUAUCAUGUAUAUAUGAAACUGUACGCCUAAAACACGAUUUCUUAUUAUUUUUGGCAUUGUCAAUAGAGUACCUAGUAAAUGUUAGAGUUAUGCGAAUGUUUAUUUGUAUGAGAGUGUAAACUUUUUGGAAGGGAGUAUUAAACCUGCUUGUAAAGAUGAUCUGAAAGAACGUGCAACAUGAACUAAUUUCUGCAGGUAUUUUGAAAUGCCUAUAAAAUGUUGCUUAAAUGAAA